GUCUCAAACACACCUUUCAUAGACCUUGUGUAAUGCCGCCCGUCGCCGCCAGCCGGAAAUCGUUGCCGCCGGCGGCCCAUAUCCAAACCAUACCAAAAUAAUACCCUAGAACCCUCUCUCUCUCCUCUUUCCAACCCCCAACUUAGUUUUUCUCGAAUCCCUCCCUAGGCCCUCGAAUCUUGAAUCGAAAUAUUCUGGCCAAGACACAACGUUGUCCAAAUCCGACCAAAUUUACACCACUGAAUUUCCUCAACUCCCUCAACCCAGAUCCAGAAUCAUUUUCCCUCAAAUAUCAGUUGAAUGUCUCGAAUAUUAAAUCAAAGGUUGGCCGGAAACCCUAAGUUCUCUGAAAUUUACCAAUUUGGUAAUAUACAGUCUCGCUAUUCUCCUCGUGAAGAAUCUACCCCUGGCGAGUUUCAAAUAUCACCAAGACCAUUCAAAUUUUGAAUCAAAUUUCAUGUCGUGAGUCCCACUAUGUUUUUUUUUUUUUUUUUUUUUUUUUUUUUUUUUUGCUUUCUGUUUUUUUUUUUUUUUUUUUUCUUUUUAAUCAAAUUUCAUGUCGUGAGUCCCACUAUGUUUUUUUUUUUUUUUUUUUUUAUUUCUUCUUCUUUGCUUUCAGUUUCUUUUUUUUUUUGUUUACUGUUAUUGUUUGUUCUCAUUUGAAAUUCUUGUGUUAGUUUUGUGGAUUCAAGAGUUCGAUUUAGGAUUAGAUUGUAUUAUUUCUCAUGUUCCUUAUCUGUUGUUCAAAUGAGUAUUUAACUACGGUAUUCUGUUUUUAUUUGCUUGUUUUUCACCUCUUUUGAUCAAUAUUUGGCGUUGGAUCGUUAAGGUAAUUAUGUUCAAACUGCACUUAAUCAUGGGAGGAAUAGCUAAAAGCAUUUUGGCAGUUUGAUUAGUUGCUUCAUGUUAAGUGGCCAUAUACAAGUGUAGUCUAUUUUAAUAAGUUUGAUCAUGUGUUUUAACCAAUUAGUCGCUACAUUCUAAUUUAGGAUUCGUGAUCAGUUUAACUUGUUCAGUUAGGAGUUUUUGUUUGAUUUUGAAUGGCUGAUUGAAGUUUUGUUUGUGUAAUCUUAGUUAUUUAAGCUGUGUGGUAAUAGUUGAUGGUGUUCUUAGUUAGUUUAAAAGAGGGCUGAGGUUAAUUGAGGUAAAUCAUUAUAUUUUAGAUAAAUAAUGGGUAGUUUGGGCAUUUCUGGCCAGAGCAUAUGUAGUAACUGAAAAUGGAAUAUUCUAGGACUUUCUAGAAGAGGAUUUAAGCUAAAAUUCAUAAAAGAAUAGGGGUAAUAACUUAGGCAACAAAUCAAUAACUAGAGGACUAACUGAAAUAAGUGAGGGACUAAUGUGUAAAAAUGAGACAUCUGAAACUGCGCCCGUUGUGCCUUGCCUUGAAUAAUAAGUUUUUGACCUCUAAAAAUUUCCCCCAAGUGCUCUUUAGUUUUCAGAUUCAGAUUUGAAAUUCAAAGUUCAAAACCCCCCAAAAGACCAUAAAAAACCAAAAACUCAAAAUUUACUGUUUCAUCGCAUAUUCUUAGAUCACUUUGAAUUUUCUUUCGAAAUCUAAGUAGUUUGAGCUAGCUGGUAGUUAAAUGGUUGACUUUGGCUAGUGUGGUACUGUUAGAAAUUGAUUUAUGCAUUUCAUGAUUGGUAUUCCUAUUUUUGGAGUAUUUCGAGUCCAUCUGAGUGUAUUUCCAGUGAUCUAUAGAAAUUGAUUUUGCUGUGUUGAUUGAUCAUCCCUUUAUUCUAUUUCAAAAUCCAGGUACACUAGUUGUAAACUUUCAUGAAAUACUAGCUCAAUUUCCUUAUGUAUUUUGUUACAUUUAUAACUUGUGUGUAGUGGUGAUCAUGUGUUAGGUAUGGUUAACAAAUAGUUUAUUAAUACUUAAUUGUUAGUUUAGAUUGAUUGGACUGUUUGAAAUAUUAAUGAGCAUGGGAUUGUGUUUGGUGGUUAUUUAAUAAUCAUGUUGGAUUUAGAUUUAAAUUUGAAUAGCUAAGGCCAGCAUUAGAGUAAAUUAAUUUAGAUUCGUUAGUAAACUAAAGACAAUAUUAUUUAGUUUUGAAAUAAUACAUGCCAUCUUUGUGUGUUGAAGGGCUCUCUCAUUUCCCAUCCUAUAUCAAUGAUUCAAAACGCUCGGAAUGGUCUUUAGGUGUGCCUUUUAAAUAAUAAAUGAGAUGAGCCUCGCCAAUGAAAUGCAUGAUUGCGGGGCUCUCAAUAAAUAUUAUAUUAAAAUACUUAAAUUUCGGGAUGGUUGUUUAGCGAAUUCCACGGCCCUCCCCAAAGAUAAUAACGUGAUAGUCUCUUUAGGAAUU
rnacentral:lncRNA from 1 species